rnacentral:rRNA from 1 species
UACGUAGGGUGCGAGCGUUGUCCGGAAUUAUUGGGCGUAAAGAGCUCGUAGGCGGUGUGUCACGUCGGCCGUGAAAACCUGCAGCUUAACUGUGGGCGUGCGGUCGAUACGGGCAUCACUGGAGUUCGGCAGGGGAGACUGGAAUUCCUGGUGUAGCGGUGAAAUGCGCAGAUAUCGGGAGGAACACCGGUGGCGAAGGCGGUUCUCUGGGCCUUACCUGACGCUAAGGAGCGAAAGCGUGGGGAGCGAACAGG